GUAGGGAAUAUUGGGCAAUGCCCGCAAGGGUGACCCAGCCAUGCCGCGUGCAGGAAGAAGGCCUUCUGGGUUGUAAACUGCUUUUGGAAGAGAACAAAAAGACACUGCGGUGUAGAUUGAGUGUAUCUUCAGAAUAAGCACCGGCUAACUCCGUGCCAGCAGCCGCGGUAAUACGGAGGGUGCAAGCGUUGUCCGGAUUUAUUGGGUUUAAAGGGUGCGUAGGCGGCUUAUUAAGUCAGGGGUGAAAGACUAUUGCUUAACAAUGGCAGUGCCUUUGAUACUGAUAGGCUUGAGUACAUUUGAGGCAGAUGGAACGGGUGGUGUAGCGGUGAAAUGCAUAGAUACCAUCCAGAACACCGAUUGCGAAGGCAGUCUGCUAAACUGUAACUGACGCUGAGGCACGAAAGCGUGGGGAUCGAACAGGAUUAGAUACCCCGGUAGUCC
rnacentral:rRNA from 1 species